UACGUAGGGUGCGAGCGUUUGUCCGGAAUUAUUGGGCGUAAAGGGCUCGUAGGCGGUUUGUCGCGUCGGGAGUGAAAACAUCCAGCUUAACUGGGUGCUUGCUUUCGAUACGGGCAGACUAGAGGUAUGCAGGGGAGAACGGAAUUCCUGGUGUAGCGGUGAAAUGCGCAGAUAUCAGGAGGAACACCGAUGGCGAAGGCAGGUCUCUGGGCAUUAACUGACGCUGAGGAGCGAAAGCAUGGGGAGCGAACAGG
rnacentral:rRNA from 1 species